GAAGAGGGGAAGUUGGAAACGAGACAUCCUGUCUGAUGCAACCCUCCUGUCACCUGGUAUGGUUGCCCUUGACACUCAACCAUCUAUAAUUAGAGAAACUACUAGGGUCAGAAUGGGACCUCAGAAAGAGCUGCACCAUAAUGGACCGGAUGAUAGUGGCACUUGGACAGAGAGCACAGGAAGAAGGGCCUGGGACGUGGAGCCUGUAAGAUCAGCAUAGUUUGUGUGAGACACCAAGACUGCAGCAAAGGAGCGCUCGCAGUUAGGGGCCCUCGCCCCCAGAUGGAACCGUUCUCCGGGACUUCCUGAUAGAACAUGCAGGGGCUAGCAACAAAAACCAACAACCACCCUACCGUCCCCCAGCUGAGAAGUAAGAGGAACAGUGGGAUUUCAUGAAAUGGCGACCUGCUGUCUUUACCCUCCGCCUUUCCUCUCCUCUGUCUUUUUUUUUUUUUUUUCCCUCCACAAUGUUCUUCUAAGACAACAAGGAAAAUU